UCUCGCUAGUUUGGUGUGUGGGGAUGUAUUUGACCCAAGAGACAUGUCCUUUAGAAAAUUUAUUAAAAUAAUAUAAUAUUAUGCAGUGUUUACAUGAAAUUGACUGAUUUACUUUUUGUAUAAAAUUGCAGAUGACUACAUGUGCACCUGACACGCCCUGUGUGAGCUCCCAGCCUGUGCUCAUGUCAGAGCCACAGUGGGAUGAAGCUGCCUGGUUAGAGGACACUGGUCAACAGAUGACUACAUGUGAACCUGACACGCCCUGUGUGAGCUCCCAGUCUGUGCUCAUGUCAGAGCCACAAUGGGAUGAAGCUGCCUGGUUAGAGGACACUGGUCAACAGAUGACUACAUGUGAACCUGACACACACUGUGUGAGCUCCCAGCCUGUGCUCAUGUCACAGCCAAAGUGGGAUGAAUCAGCCUGGUUAGAGGACACUGGUCACCAGGUAAUUCAUAUCCAUCACCUAAUAAUUACCUCUAGUGUCUUCUAGUCACCUUUGACAUCUGCUCUUGUUUUCUUUAAGCAGGUAAAUUAAUUUAAUUUUAUAAUUAUAAGGGGAAUCUAUUAUGCAUCAGGUCUGCCAAACUGUUUUCUCUAAUGCUUGUAUAAGGCUAAUGAUAAGGGAUAUGUAGGACACAUCUAAACCUUGUUGAGUAAUUUUCCCGGGACAAAAUGUUGCUGUAGUCUGGGAUAAUCACGACGUCCCCACAAUGCACCUUUUAUGGUUUGGUUUCAGUGUAAUGUUACGUUAAGUAUCUGAUAACAGAGAACCUACAGGUGUGUGAAAUGUCCC
rnacentral:lncRNA from 1 species